rnacentral:tRNA from 2 species
GCCAGGGUGGCGAAAUUGGUAGACGCGCUUGACUUAGGAUCAAGUGGAUCAACUCCGUGCAGGUUCGAGUCCUGUCCCUGGUACCA